UGUGUAGGCGGUUGUUUAAGUUUGGUGUGAAAUCUCCCGGCUCAACUGGGAGGGUGCGCCAAAUACUGAAUGACUCGAGUGCGGGAGAGGAAAGUGGAAUUCCUGGUGUAGCGGUGAAAUGCGUAGAUAUCAGGAGGAACACCGGUGGUGUAGACGGCUUUCUGGACCGUAACUGACGCUGAGACACGAAAGCGUGGGUAGCAAACAGGAUUAGAUACCCUGGUAGUCCACGCCCUAAACGAUGCAUAUUUGGUGUGGGCAGUUCAUUCUGUCCGUGCCGGAGCUAACGCGUUAAAUAUGCCGCCUGGGGAGUACAGUCGCAAGGCUGAA
rnacentral:rRNA from 1 species